CACGUAGGGGGCAAGCGUUGUCCGGAUUUAUUGGGCGUAAAGAGCUCGUAGGCGGUUUCGUUAGUCGGGUGUGAAAACCCCAGGCUCAACCUGGGGACGCCACCCGAUACUGCGAUGACUAGAGUCCGGUAGGGGAGUGUGGAAUUCCCGGUGUAGCGGUGAAAUGCGCAGAUAUCAGGAGGAACACCAACGGCGAAGGCAGCACUCUGGGCCGGAACUGACGCUGAGGAGCGAAAGCGUGGGUAGCGAACAGG
rnacentral:rRNA from 1 species